UACGUAGGGACCGAGCGUUGUCCGGAAUUAUUGGGCGUAAAGCGCGCGCAGGCGGCCUUGUAAGUCUGUCGUUUAAACUCGGAGCUCAACUUCGAGUCGCGAUGGAAACUGCAAAGCUUGAGUGCAGAAGAGGAAAGUGGAAUUCCACGUGUAGCGGUGAAAUGCGUAGAGAUGUGGAGGAACACCAGUGGCGAAGGCGACUUUCUGGGCUGUAACUGACGCUGAGGCGCGAAAGCGUGGGGAGCAAACAGG
rnacentral:rRNA from 1 species